rnacentral:rRNA from 1 species
AUUGAACGCUGGCGGCAUGCUUUACACAUGCAAGUCGAACGGUAACAGGGUGCUUGCACCGCUGACGAGUGGCGAACGGGUGAGUAAUGCGUCGGAACGUGCCGAGUAGUGGGGGAUAACGCAGCGAAAGUUGUGCUAAUACCGCAUACGUACUGAGGUAGGAAGUGGGGGACCUUCGGGCCUCACGCUAUUCGAGCGGCCGACGUCUGAUUAGCUAGUAGGUGAGGUAAAGGCUCACCUAGGCGACGAUCAGUAGCGGGUCUGAGAGGAUGAUCCGCCACACUGGGACUGAGACACGGACCAGACUCCUACGAGAGGCAGCAGUGGGGAAUUUUGGACAAUGGGCGAAAGCCUGAUCCAGCCAUGCCGCGUGUCUGAAGAAGGCCUUCGGGUUGUAAAGGACUUUUGUCAGGGAGGAAAUCCCUAGUGCUAAUAACACUGGGGGAUGACAGUACCUGAAGAAUAAGCACCGGCUAACUACGUGCCAGCCGCCGCCGUAA